GAUGAACGCUGGCGGCGUGCUUAACACAUGCAAGUCGAGCGAACAGAUGAGGCGCUUGCGCCUCUCUCGUUUGCGGCGGACGGGUGUGUCACACGUGUAUCCCCCACUUAUAAGACUGGGAUCACCACGGGAAACCGGAGCUAACACCGUAUAAUAUAUUGAACCGCAGGGUGCAAUGGUGAAAUACGGUUUUUGUGUCUCUAAUAGAUGCAUCCCGGCCGGAUUGGCUAGUAGGUAAGUUAAAGGCUUACCAAGGCGACGAUGCGUAACCGACCUGAGAGGGUGAUCGGCCACACGGGAGCUGAGACACGGUCCAGACUCCUACGGGAGGCAGCAGUAGGGAAUCUUCCGCAAUGGGCGAAAGCCUGACGGAGCAACGCGGCGUGUGUGAUGAAAGUCUUCGGAGCGUAAAACUCGGUUAUUAGGGGAGAACAACUGUGUAAGUAACUAUGGACGUCUUGACGGUACCGGAUCAGAAAGCAACGGCUAACUACGUG
rnacentral:rRNA from 1 species